rnacentral:rRNA from 1 species
UGGGGAAUUUUGGACAAUGGGCGCAAGCCUGAUCCAGCAAUGCCGCGUGUGUGAAGAAGGCCUUCGGGUUGUAAAGCACUUUUGUCCGGAAAGAAAUCCGUCUGGCUAAUACCCGGACGGGAUGACGGUACCGGAAGAAUAAGCACCGGCUAACUACGUGCCAGCAGCCGCGGUAAUACGUAGGGUGCGAGCGUUAAUCGGAAUUACUGGGCGUAAAGGGUGCGCAGGCGGUCUUGCAAGUCAGAUGUGAAAGCCCCGGGCUUAACCUGGGAAUUGCGUUUGAAACUACAAGACUAGAGUGCAGCAGAGGGGAGUGUAAUUCCAUGUGUAGCAGUGAAAUGCGUAGAGAUGUGGAAGAACACCGAUGGCGAAGGCAGCUCCCUGGGUUGACACUGACGCUCAUGCACGAAAGCGUGGGGAGCAAACA